rnacentral:tRNA from 1 species
ACUUGAGUAGUUUAAUAUUAGGAUGAUAAUUUGUGGAGUUAUAGGUAUCGUGUAGAUCUCAGGUU